GCUCCAGUAGCGCAAUCGGCAGCGCGUGGUACUUAUAAUGCCAAGGUUGUGAGUUCGAUCCUCACCUGGAGCA
rfam:Grouper iridovirus, complete genome.